ACGGCUGCUCAGUAACACGUAGUCAACCUAACCUAUGGACGGGAAUAACCUCGGGAAACUGAGAAUAAUGCCCGAUAGAACACUAUACCUGGAAUGGUUUGUGUUCCAAAUGAUUUAUCGCCGUAGGAUGGGACUGCGGCCUAUCAGUUUGUUGGUGAGGUAAUGGCCCACCAAGACUAUUACAGGUACGGGCUCUGAGAGGAGUAGCCCGGAGAUGGGUACUGAGACACGGACCCAGGCCCUAUGGGGCGCAGCAGGCGAGAAAACUUUGCAAUGUGCGAAAGCACGACAAGGCUAAUCCGAGUGGUUUCCGCUAAAGGAACCUUUUGUUAGUCCUAGAAACACUAACGAAUAAGGGGUGGGCAAGUUCUGGUGUCAGCCGCCGCGGUAAAACCAGCACCUCAAGUGGUCAGGAUGAUUAUUGGGCCUAAAGCAUCCGUAGCCGGCUCUGUAAGUUUUCGGUUAAACCUGUACGCUCAACGUACAGGCUGCCGGGAAUACUGCAGAGCUAGGGAGUGGGAGAGGUAGACGGUACUCGGGAGGAAGUGGUAAAAUGCUUUGAUCUCUCGAUGACCACCUGUGGCGAAGGCGGUCUACCAGAACACGUCCGACGGUGAGGGAUGAAAGCUGGGGGAGCAAACCGGAUUAGAUACCCGGGUAGUCCCAGCUGUAAACUAUGCAAACUCAGUGAUGCAUUGGCUUGUGGCCAAUGCAGUAUUGCAGGGAAGCCGUUAAGUUUGCCGCCUGGGAAGUACGUACGCAAGUAUGAAACUUAAAGGAAUUGGCGGGGGAGCAG
rnacentral:rRNA from 1 species